UUCCUACCUGAUCCGAGGUCAACUUUCAGAAG
rnacentral:rRNA from 1 species